rnacentral:rRNA from 1 species
UACGGAGGGGGCUAGCGUUGUCCGGAUUUAUUGGGCGUAAAGAGCGUGUAGGCGGCCAGACAGGUCCGUUGUGAAAACUCGAGGCUCAACCUCGAGAUGUCGAUGGAAACCGUCUGGCUAGAGUCCGGAAGAGGAGUGUGGAAUUCCUGGUGUAGCGGUGAAAUGCGCAGAUAUCAGGAAGAACACCUAUGGCGAAGGCAGCACUCUGGGACGGUACUGACGCUGAGACGCGAAAGCGUGGGGAGCGAACAGG